CUGGGAUAACCUUGAGAAAUUGAGGCUAAACCCGGAUAGGAGAUCGGUACUGGAAUGUCCUUUCUCCUAAAGGUAACGCCUAAGGAUAAGUCGGCGGCUGAUUAGGUAGUUGGCGAGGUAAUGGCUCACCAAGCCUUGGAUCAGUAGGGGGGAUGAGAGUCCUAGCCCCGAGAAGGGCACUGAGAUACUGGCCCUAGCCCUAAGGGGUGCAGCAGGCGCGCAAACUUUACAAUGCACGAAAGUGUGAUAGGGGGAUCCCUAGUGCUUUGUCUUCGGAUAAAGCUUUUUUUAAGUCUAAAUAGCUUAGAGAAUAAGUGGUGGGAAAGACGGGUGCCAGCCGCCGCGGUAACACCCGCGCCACAAGUGGCAAUCAUAAUUAUUGGGUCUAAAGCGUUCGUAGCCGGUUUGAUAACUCUCUUGUGAAAUUGUUGGGCUUAACCUAACAACGCGCAAGAGAAACUAUUAGACUUGGGACCGGGAGGAGCUAGAGGUAUUCUAGGGGGAUCGGUAAAAUGUGAUAAUCCCCGGAGGACCACCAGUGGCGAAGGCGUCUAGCUAGAACGGGUCUGACGGUGAGGAACGAAGGCCAGGGGAGCAAAACGGAUUAGAUACCCGAGUAGUCCUGGCAGUAAACGCUGUGAGCUAUGUGUUGCACAAUCUUAGUGGUCGUGCAGUGCCUAAGCGAAGGUGUUAAGCUCACCACCUGGGAAGUACAGUCGCAAGACCGAAACUUAAAGGAAUUGGCGGGGGCUCACUACAAGGGGUGAAGAGUGCGGUUCAAUUGGAUUCCACGCCGGAAAUCUCACCAGGGGCGAUGGCAUGAUGAAGGUCAGAUUAAAGGUUUUACCUAAAGCGCCAAGAGGUGGUGCAUGGCCGACGCCAGCUCGUGCCGUGAGGUGUCACGUUAAGUCGUGCAACGAGCAAGACCCAUGUCUACUUUUACCAACAGAUUCUACGGAAUGACUGGGUACAAUGUGGAGACUGCUUUCGUAAGGAAGAGGAAGGUGUGGGCAACGUUAGGUCCGUAUGCCCCGAAUCUCCUGGGCUACACGCGCUCUGCAAUGGUAGAGACAAUAGGAUGCGACUCCGAAAGGAGAAGCAAACCCUCUAAACUCUAUCUUAGUCUGGAUUGAGGGUUGUAACUCACCCUCAUGAAACCGGAAUCCCUAGUAAUCGGAUCUCAUUACGGUCCGGUGAAUAACGUCCCUGAGCCUUGCACACACUGCCCGUCAAACCAACCGAGCAUGGUUUAGAUGAGACUUAGUUCUUUGAUUAAGUCGAAUCUAAGUUAAGUAAGGUGGGUUAAGUCGUCACAAGGUA
rnacentral:rRNA from 1 species